rnacentral:rRNA from 1 species
AGAGCGAACGCUGGCGGCAGGCUUAACACAUGCAAGUCGAGCGGGCGUAGCAAUACGUCAGCGGCAGACGGGUGAGUAACGCGUGGGAACGUACCUUUUGGUUCGGAACAACCCAGGGAAACUUGGGCUAAAUACCGGAUAAGCCCUUACGGGGAAAGAUUUAUCGCCGAAAGAUCGGCCCGCGUCUGAUUAGCUAGUUGGUGAGGUAAUGGCUCACCAAGGCGACGAUCAGUAGCUGGUCUGAGAGGAUGAUUAGCCACAUUGGGACUGAGACACGGCCCAAACUCCUACGGGAGGCAGCAGUGGGGAAUAUUGGACAAUGGGCGCAAGCCUGAUCCAGCCAUGCCGCGUGAGUGAUGAAGGCCCUAGGGUUGUAAAGCUCUUUUGUGCGGGAAGAUAAUGACGGUACCGCAAGAAUAAGCCCCGGCUAACUUCGCGCCAGCAGCCGC